AAGUCGUAACAAGGUUUCCGUAGGUGAACCUGCGGAAGGAUCAUUAACUAGUAUUGAAGUCCACGGGGAUCAGGCUUUCCGAAAGGAGGGUGGGGGGAUGUUUGGUUCCCCCUGCUUGGGCAGACUGGAGAGCAUGGUGUAGCCACUUUUUGUUGGCUAGAUUAUGUUUGGCCUCUGCUGAUCGAGCUUGUCACCUGAAUUCUACUACCCUUGCUUUUUGCGCACCCAUUGUUUCCUCGGCAGGCUUGCCUGCCAGUAGGACCCUUUAAAACCCUUUGUAAUUGCAAUCAGCGUCAGAAACAACGUAAUCGUUACAACUUUCAACGACGGAUCUCUUGGUUCUG
rnacentral:misc_RNA from 1 species